GCUUAAGCUAAUAAGAGUCCUCCAGCUCUUCCACAUCUUCUCGGACUCACAGGAUAAAGGCUAAGAGACAGACACCGGGCUCUCCAGUUCCCCAACUGAAGGAUCACUGGAGUCAACCAGACAGGUGGUUCCUCACAGUGUCAAGUCGACAGGACUGGAUUAUACUCUUCAAGCUGACAGAACCAAACACUCCAAUCACCAAACAAACUUUUCAUUGAAUCUUUCCCACGAAGGAAGCCUUCCUAAAAGGACUGAAAAUCAUCUUCAAAUAUGCCUUGUUCUGUCUUUCUAUUCAAAUUUAAGGUUGAGUCACCUCAAGACCUAGAGCCUGUCAGUGGUAACGGCCCUGAGAAGAAACUAAAAAAAUGUAAGCUAACACAACCAGAAAGGAAAGCUUCGCAGUACUGACUCACAUCUAUUGAAUUAUGGAAGUUCAUGAAACCAUUUUGUAUGGUUGAGUCGGGUUGUGGUUGAGAGUGUGUAUACUGCGUGCCUGCAGUGCUUGUGUAGACCAGAAGAGGGCAGCAGAUUCUCCCGGAAAUGGAGUUACAGACAAUUGUGGUCUUUUACAUGGGUCCCUUGGAAGAGCAGUGCUCUUAACCACUGAGCUAUCUCUCUAGUCCUUUAUCUUCUAUAUAGUGAUACUGAUAUUAGACAAUAAAUCAAAGUUGAUGAGGUUA